AAUUGAAAUGCAUGGUUUGUUAAUUGUCAAACAAUAAUAAUUAUCUAAUCACAAUUAUAUCACUAAUUCAAGGACAUGGAAUGAUUAAAAUUCAAGAUCAAUUAAUUAUUAUCCUUUUUCACUUUCACAAUGAUAUUUUAUUUGUUAAUUAUAAUCAUCACCCGAUAGUUACAACAAUUAAUUGUGUUUCUUUUUUCUGGUGUUUUGUUGAUUCUCAUAUUAUUGAUUGUGAGAUUUUUUCUUGUACAUAUUUUUAACAAUCAAGAUUAUCGAAUUGAUAUGAUUAACUGACAAGAGAGUAAUUGAUUGAUCAAGAGGAUGCUAAUCGUUACCCGAUUUGGUAACAAAAAACUCCUAUUGAUCAAUCAAUUCAUCUCUUGUCAAUUAAACAUCUUCAUCAUCAUCUUAAGGGAAAAGUAAUUACCAAAAAAAGGAUUGAUAAGAUACUGGAGAGGAUUAAGUUAUCUUGGUUUUAGUGAGCAAGAAAUUGAUCAUCAGAUGAAAAAGAACGAGAAAACAACAAGAUGAUGAUGAUAAUGUAAAGAAAAGACUUUAGCAUCUUGAUUUCUUUUUCUGAUUAUCUUCAAGAGUCUAUGAAAGUUACAAGGUAUGAAUAGAAACAACUACAAAAUGAUGAGUUAACAUUCAUCUUCACCUUUAACUCUCACUUAUAUAAGAUACUCACUCAGGUAAAUUCAUUCUUCCUGAAACUUGGAAAUUACUCUUAACUUUAUGACGAUAAAAACAGUAAAGAAAGAGGAAGAAGAUGAACUUUUUCUCUUGUCAUCUCUUUCUUUCUUUCUCUCUUCAUCUUUUCAGCUGAAGAGAUACUGUAGUUUCAAAUCUUCAUUAGAUUUGAUUGUUCACAAUUGAAACGUGUGGUUUGGCUUAACACGUUCAUGAUUCUUAAUCAUCAUCAUUACAUUGGAAGUACUGAUCUGAAUGAAGAUGAUGAUGAUUGUUGAAUAACGAAGAGUUUGACAAUCAACUAGAAAUUUGUUAAUUUGUCCUUGUAAUACAAAUAACCACAAUUAACUUUUACUGUCAAUAUUUUAAUCAAACGGAUUGUAAUUAAAGUUUUCAUCUGUAAAUCCAAUUGAUAGUUUGUUUCAAUAUCUCAACAAUUAUUAUUUUAUUUGCAACUUUAGUUAGCUGUUAGUUGUUAUUUAUUAUUACAAUUUAAUUAUCAGAAGUGGAUUAAAUUUGAUUUGCAACAAAUAAUAAUUAAAAGGUUAAUCUACUUCCUUAGAUGGAUUGGAUGAUGAGAUUAACUUUAAUUGUUAAUUUGUAAUCUAAUUUUGCUUACCAACAAUCUCAAAAUGAGAAUGAAAAAUUAAAAUAUUGAUUAUAAUUGUUGCAAUGAUUGCAAUUAAAGUUCCUACGCAACUGAGUUAUUUGAUCAAUGAUAAUGAUGAACACAAUAUUCUGCUCGAAAUAAACAACAACAAUCAAAAGUUAAUCGUGUUACAAUUAAUUUUGAUUUAAUAUAACUACUACCUGGUGGUUAACCUAAUCAUUUAUUGAUUACCAAUUGAUUGUUGAUGAUUUAUUGGUGAAAGUUAAUAUUAACUGUCUCUGCUCAAUUGUUCAUUUGAUUGAUUGAUUCAACUCUAUGCUCAACUUUGUUUGAAAGUGUACGAAACUUAAUGUCUGAAGCUGUAUAUUAGCAACAGUGUUACCAAUUACCAUCAUAUCUUCAUCUUCGUCUUCAUCUUCAUCUUCAUCUUCAUCUUCAUCUUUUCUACCUUUCAUUCCACUCUCUCAACGAAUAAGUAAAGAGAAAGCCUCCCGUUUUCUGUUCUCCUUCCUUGUAUCGAAUAUCGUAAUCCUCAUAAUCGUUUACAACUAAUGACAAGAAGAAAAGAAAAGAACAUCCAUUCACCCUCAGGGUUAAGGUCAUUGUGAGCCGAAUGGAAGAGAAAGAAAAUUUUGUUAGUUUUCUAAUCUAAUCGAUCUACGAUCAAUUAUAGUCAAGUACCCAAAACUAAAUUAUGAACAAUAAGAUGAUCACUUAUUAACAAUAAAGAUAAUACAGUUAAUAGAUUUUAAAAUCGAAGAACUAAAUUCAUGGAAUAUGAACAA